UUGACGCUGGCGGCAUGCCUUACACAUGCAAGUCGAACGGCAGCACGGGAGCAAUCCUGGUGGCGAGUGGCGAACGGUGAGUAAUAUAUCGGAACGUGCCCAGUCGUGGGGGAUAACGUAGCGAAAGCUACGCUAAUACCGCAUACGAUCUAUGGAUGAAAGCGGGGGAUCGCAAGACCUCGCGCGAUUGGAGCGGCCGAUAUCAGAUUAGGUAGUUGGUGAGGUAAAGGCUCACCAAGCCGACGAUCUGUAGCUGGUCUGANAGGACGACCAGCCACACUGGGACUGAGACACGGCCCAGACUCCUACGGGAGGCAGCAGUGGGGAAUUUUGGACAAUGGGCGCAAGCCUGAUCCAGCAAUGCCGCGUGCAGGAUGAAGGCCUUCGGGUUGUAAACUGCUUUGUACGGAACGAAACGGUGAGCUCUAAUACAGUUUGCUAAUGACGGUACCGUAAGAAUAAGCACCGGCUAACUACGUG
rnacentral:rRNA from 1 species